rnacentral:rRNA from 1 species
AACGAACGCUGGCGGCAUGCCUAACACAUGCAAGUCGAACGAGACCUUCGGGUCUAGUGGCGCACGGGUGCGUAACGCGUGGGAACCUGCCCUUAGGUUCGGUAUAACUCCCCGAAAGGGGUGCUAAUACCGGAUAAUGUCUUCGGACCAAAGAUUUAUCGCCUUUGGAUGGGCCCGCGUUGGAUUAGCUAGUUGGUAGGGUAAAAGCCUACCAAGGCGACGAUCCAUAGCUGGUCUGAGAGGAUGAUCAGCCACACUGGGACUGAGACACGGCCCAGACUCCUACGGGAAGCAGCAGUGGGGAAUAUUGGACAAUGGGCGAAAGCCUGAUCCAGCAAUGCCGCGUGAGUGAUGAAGGCCUUAGGGUUGUAAAGCUCUUUUACCCGGGAUGAUAAUGACAGUACCGGGAGAAUAAGCUCCGGCUAACUCCGUG